rnacentral:rRNA from 1 species
UAACACGUAGGAGGCAAGCGUUAUCCGGAUUUACUGGGCGUAAAGCGCGUGCAGGCGGUUCGGUAAGUUGGAUGUGAAAGCUCCUGGCUCAACUGGGAGAGGUCGUUCAAUACUACCGGACUUGAGAACAGUAGAGGGAGGUGGAAUUCCCGGUGUAGUAGUGAAAUGCGUAGAUAUCGGGAGGAACACCAGUGGCGAAAGCGGCCUCCUGGACUGUUUCUGACGCUCAGACGCGAAAGCUAGGGGAGCGAACGGGAUUAGAGACCCCGGUAGUCCUAGCCGUAAACGAUGUGAACUUGGCGUCGGCGGGUUCAAAGCCGUCGGUGCCGAAGCUAACGCGAUAAGUGGUCCGCCUGGGAACUACGAGCGCAAGCUUA